GAAUCUUUCGCAAUGGGCGAAAGCCUGAUGGUGCGACGCCGCGUGAGGGAUGAAGGUCUUCGGAUUGUAAACCUCUGUCACUGGGGAAGAAACGCUAGGCGUGAACAUCGCCUAGCCUGACUUAACCCGGAGAGGAAGCAGUGGCUAACUCUGUGCCAGCAGCCGCGGUAAUACAGAGACUGCAAGCGUUAUUCGGAUUCACUGGGCGUAAAGGGUGCGCAGGCGGCCGUGUGUGUGAGGUGUGAAAUCCCGGGGCUUAACCCCGGAACUGCGCCUUAAACUACACGGCUAGAGCAUUGGAGAGGGAAGUGGAAUUCACGGUGUAGCAGUGAAAUGCGUAGAUAUCGUGAGGAACACCAGUGGCGAAGGCGACUUCCUGGACAAUUGCUGACGCUCAGGCACGAAA
rnacentral:rRNA from 1 species